GACGAACGCUGGCGGCGUGCCUAAUACAUGCAAGUAGAACGCUGAAGGAGGAGCUUGCUUCUCCGGAUGAGUUGCGAACGGGUGAGUAACGCGUAGGUAACCUGCCUGGUAGCGGGGGAUAACUAUUGGAAACGAUAGCUAAUACCGCAUAACAGUAGAUGUUGCAUGACAUUUGCUUAAAAGGUGCAAUUGCAUCACUACCAGAUGGACCUGCGUUGUAUUAGCUAGUUGGUGAGGUAACGGCUCACCAAGGCGACGAUACAUAGCCGACCUGAGAGGGGGGUCGGCCACACUGGGACUGGGACACGGCCCAGACUCCUACGGGGAGCAGCAGUAGGGGAUCUUCGGCAAUGGACGGAAGUCUGACCGAGCAACGCCGCGUGAGUGAAGAAGGGUUUCGGAUCGUAAAGCUCUGUUGUAAGAGAAGAACGAGUGUGAGAGUGGAAAGUUCACACUGUGACGGUAUCUUACCAGAAAGGGACGGCUAACUACGUG
rnacentral:rRNA from 1 species